GCAAGUCGAACGAGAACGGUACUAGCUUGCUAGUAUGUCAGCUAAGUGGCGGACGGGUGAGUAAUGUAUAGUUAAUCUGCCCCCUAGAGAGGGAUAACAGUUAGAAAUGACUGCUAAUACCUCAUACUCCUUUUGUGGUAAACAUAAAAGGGAAACGUCUUUUCGCUAGGGGAUGAGACUAUAUGGUAUCAGGUAGUUGGUAGGGUAAGAGCCUACCAAGCCAAUGACGCCUAGCUGGUCUGAGAGGAUGAUC
rnacentral:rRNA from 1 species